rnacentral:lncRNA from 1 species
GCCAACUCCCGCACGCAAGGCACACAAUGUGGGUGCAUGCACGUCUUAGGCCACACACCUGCAUGUCUCCUGUUGGGUUCUGAUCAUGCAGUGAAAUAUGAAUUUUAAAAAUUUUUAACAUACAUAAAAUAAGUUUGAACACUUAAAACAAGCCGACCGAAACACAAACCCAAGAAUCACCUUAUAGACUUCAAUCAAACCAAUCAAGCAUGCAAUUAGAUAGAAGUUAUACUUUCUAAAGAUGAUGAUCUAGCAAUAGAAUGAUCUCCACAAGACACCAAAGUAGGCACCUGUUAGAUGUAUGCCCUAGAUGCC